rnacentral:rRNA from 1 species
GACGAACGCUGGCGACGUGCCUAAUACAUGCAAGUAGAACGCACAGUUUAUACCGUAGCUUGCUACACCAUAGACUGUGAGUUGCGAACGGGUGAGUAACGCGUAGGUAACCUGCCUGGUAGCGGGGGAUAACUAUUGGAAACGAUAGCUAAUACCGCAUAAUAUUGAUUAUUGCAUGAUAAUUGAUUGAAAGAUGCUAUUGCAUCACUACCAGAUGGACCUGCGUUGUAUUAGCUAGUAGGUGAGGUAACGGCUCACCUAGGCGACGAUACAUAGCCGACCUGGGAGGGUGAUCAGCCACACUGGGACUGAGACACGGCCCAGACUCCUGCGGGAGGCAGCAGUAGGGAAUCUUCGGCAAUGGACGAAAGUCUGACCGAGCAACGCCGCGUGAGUGGAGAAGGGUUUCGGAUCGUAAAGCUCUGUUGUAAGAGAAGAACGGGUGUGAGAGUGGAAAGUUCACACUGUGACGGUAUCUUACCAGAAAGGGACGGCUAACUACGUG